rnacentral:rRNA from 1 species
GACAGGGGGGGCUGGCGUUAUUCUUCAUUAAUUGGCGUAAAGGGUUACGUCGACUCCUUUUUUUUAAUUUUUGUAAAAAGCCAAUUUAUUGGAAAAAAAAUUUAAUGUUAAAGGUAGAGUUAAGUGCAGGGUUACAAGAAUUUUUAGUGUAGAAGUGAAGUACGAAAAAACUAAAAGGAAUGCUCAAAGCGAAGGCAAGUAACCAUAAUUAACUGACGUUGAGGUACUAAGGUGUGGGGAGCAAAUGGG